UCCUUCGGGGGGGGCAGCAGUAGGGAAUCUUCCGCAAUGGACGAAAGUCUGACGGAGCAACGCCGCGUGAGUGAUGAAGGUUUUCGGAUCGUAAAGCUCUGUUGUUAGGGAAGAACAAGUGCCGUUCAAAUAGGGCGGCACCUUGACGGUACCUAACCAGAAAGCCACGGCUAACUACGUGCCAGCAGCCGCGGUAAUACGUAGGUGGCAAGCGUUGUCCGGAAUUAUUGGGCGUAAAGGGCUCGCAGGCGGUUUCUUAAGUCUGAUGUGAAAGCCCCCGGCUCAACCGGGGAGGGUCAUUGGAAACUGGGGAACUUGAGUGCAGAAGAGGAGAGUGGAAUUCCACGUGUAGCGGUGAAAUGCGUAGAGAUGUGGAGGAACACCAGUGGCGAAGGCGACUCUCUGGUCUGUAACUGACGCUGAGGAGCGAAAGCGUGGGGAGCGAACAGGAUUAGAUACCCUGGUAGUCCACGCCGUAAACGAUGAGUGCUAAGUGUUAGGGGGUUUCCGCCCCUUAGUGCUGCAGCUAACGCAUAAGCACUCCGCCUGGAGUACUGCUGUCA
rnacentral:rRNA from 1 species